rnacentral:tRNA from 1 species
GCGGCGAUAGCUCAGUUGGGAGAGCGUUAGAUUGAAGAUUUGAAGGUCGUGUGUUUGACCCACACUCAUUGCA